rnacentral:rRNA from 1 species
GCUUAACUUGGGAAUUGCAUUCGAUACUGGUGAGCUAGAGUAUGGGAGAGGAUGGUAGAAUUCCAGGUGUAGCGGUGAAAUGCGUAGAGAUCUGGAGGAAUACCGAUGGCGAAGGCGGCCCUCUGGCCUAAUACUGACGCUGAGGUACGAAAGCAUGGGGAGCAAACAGGAUUAGAUACCCUGGUAGUCCAUGCCGUAAACGAUGUCUACUAGCCGUUGGGGCCUUUGAGGCUUUAGUGGCGCAGCUAACGCGAUAAGUAGACCGCCUGGGGAGUACGGUCGCAAGACUAAAACUCAAAUGAAUUGACGGGGGCCCGCACNAGCGGUGGAGCAUGUGGUUUAAUUCGAUGCAACGCGAANAACCUUACCUGGCCUUGACAUACUANAAACUUUCCAGAGAUGGAUUGGUGCCUUCGGGAAUCUAGAUACAGGUGCUGCAUGGCUGUCGUCAGCUCGUGNCGUGANAUGUUGGGUUAAGUCCCGCAACGAG